UUUUUUUUUUUUUUUUUUUGGUCUUUUUAGGGUCUCACUGUUGGCAUACGGAGGUUUCUAGGCUAGGAAUCCAGUCGGAGCUAUAGCUGCCAGCCUACGCCACAGCCACAGCAAUGCCAGAUCCGAGCCUCGUCUGUGACCUACACCAUAGCUCACGGCCACGCCGGAUCCUUAACCCACUGAGCGAGGCCAGGGAUUGAACCUGCAACCUCAUGGUUCCUAGUCGGAGUAGUUUCUGCUGCGCCACAGUGGGAACGCCCCUUUUUUCUUUGUUUUUUAAAUUCUGUCUUGGAAUCAUUAUUGCAUGGUUUUUGUGUGUGCUUUGUCUCCCUUCAUGCUUGUAGAGGUGCUGUGAGAUAGCGUUGUAUAGAAGCAGCGGUGCAUGGCUGUUGCUCUGCGUAGAUGGAGGCCGGGCAAGACCUGUGUGCUCUCUGUUCCACAAUGGCUGCUUCCUGCCUGCCUGUCCCGGGGCAGAGUGGGGGGUGUGUGUGUGGGUAAGUGGGUGCUCUGUGAUCUGGAGGAGGCAGAGAUAAGGGAAAGGGACAAUGGAGAAUAAGAAGCUUGGGGCUCUGAGGAGCUGCGGCCUAGGACGGGUGCGCUGCGGCAGGUGGCUGAGGUCUGGCCUUGAGUGAACUUUUUGCAUCGGAACAAAUAUAUUUGGUCAACUAAGCCCUAGUUCUGCCUUUAAUUCUUGAAUUAGAGGUCAGGCAUUCAUUUUUAAUAGUGUAUGGAAAUUCUGAUAAUGGGAAUAGAUUUCUUUCCUUUUAGUUUUCAAGAAGGAACUGAAAAACUGGAUUACACCCUGAUACUUCUGUAGGGUUGUACAAAAUAAGACAGAAUCUGGAUUCAUUUUGUGAUGGUGACUUUACCGAGGUAGAUAUUAUUAUUCUCCAUCAGAAUAUCUAGAAAUACUCUUCCAUUCUCAUUUUUGUCCUCUUAAACUGCUGGAGUGUGCAGAUAAGACAUUUCACAGGAUUGAGAUUUCCUUUGCUCACUUUGCUAAGCCCUGUGUUCUCUGGCUCUUGCAUGCCUGAUUUUUGCUGAUUGCAGGGUCUUAAUAAUGUUUUAAAUUUUCUUCUUUGUCCAAGGGUAUAACUUUACUGUGGAGGGCAAAAUCAUGAUUCUCCAUGGUCUAGGGCUUUUAGGCACUUCUAAACUCCUAAUUUUCAUUUAUGUGGCUUAGUUUCUCCAUUAGACCAUACCAUUAGGGAGUUGUCAUACAGGAGAAAAAGGCGGCUUGACCUUACGGCAGAAACAUCUAAAUGUUUGACAGAUAAAUUUUUUUGGAAAGAAAGUGUGUUUUAGAUAGAGCAUCUAAGCUUUCAGUGCAUUGUAGGGAGAAAGUCCUCUUGAGGCUUCACCCAGUGGUACCAAAGCUGAGACCUCAUGGAGGGUGGCUCUAGGCUCAGUGAAGAGUAGAUUAGAUAAUUGCUUUUGCCCAGUCAACUCAGGCUUUUUUCUGUCUUUGAAUAAAAUAAGCACCAUUCCCUGACUGCUCUAGGAACCAAAUAAAACUUUCAAAAGAGCUGGUUUAGUAGAAAUAAUGUUUACUUUUCAUAGAUUUGUGUGUAUGUUUUUUAAAAAUUCAGUAAAUGGACACAAGACCGUUUGCUAAAAAGCUUGUAUCCAGAAAGGUGAUUUAGAAUUUUUUGUUCAUUUAUCAAAUACCUGAGUACCUCCCCUGUGUCCUGUGUUCUCACCAGACUCUAUGGGAGACUUGCAGAUGCAUCAUCGGAUGUUGACCCUGGUGACGUGGAGCUUGUCCCUCAGUGGGGAGGCAGAUGCUUGGGGCAGGAGGUCAGGUGCGAUCCAGUGUGGAGGAGAGAGCAGUGACCUCUCUCUGAAGGGGAGGGAAUUAGACAGGGUUGCAUGGAGAAGGAGGCAUUCGAUCUGAAUAUUGAAGUAAAGUCGUUUGGUGGGAAAUGAGCUUUUUCCGUAGGUUUUCUAGCACAGGAGUUACGUGGUUACAGUUGUGCUUUAAGAAAACUAUUUCUGGGAUGUGAUCAAAGAUAGAGACCAGAGACUGAGAGGAACCAAUGCAAAACUAACCUUUCUAAGUGGUAGUGGAAACAGAGGUAGAGUUCAUUGAACUUGGCAGUUGGAGCAAUGCAUGGUAUCAAAUGAGGUUUUGUUUUUUUUUUUUUAAGCCUCAAUAGGUAAUUAGGAGUAUGGCAAUGCCAUUAAAAUUUGGAAACACAGGAGGAGAAACUGAUUAGUAAGAAGAGAGUAGUAAAUAUAAUCUGCCAUUGAGAAAUUGGGUGAUUUUUUUUGUUGUCGUUAGGCCAAUGGGAAUAUUUAAAUAGACCUGGGAAGAAGCCAGGGUUGAAGAUAGGGAUAUUGAGAGUUGGGGCAGUUGGAGCCUUGAGAUGGAAUGAAAUUGCCAAAGUAUUUAGUAUCAAAUGUAUCUUUACCAAGAAUGUCACGUUGCAAAACCUGAAAAUCCUCUAGUUUUAGGACAGGAGUGCUCCAGAAGAGAGAGAGUAUUGUUUAAAGAACUCAAAUCAUUCUUUGAGCUUUUAUUUCUCUCUGGAAUUCUUUCAGUUUGACUCUCAUCUUGGGGAGAUAGUAAAAGCUAGUAGCUUUAAGCGUGCAAACGGAAAGAUAGGGUUUGAAUCCUUGUUCUGCCACCUACCUGCCAUGUAUCCUUGUCAGAGCUAUAGAUCUUCUUGUGCUUCAGUUUAUUCAUCUCUAAGAUGAAGGUGAUAAUGUGUACCUUAUAGGGUUGUUUCUGGAUUAUCCCAUCAUUUAGCCUGCUGCUUGGAGCAUACUAGGUGCUCCAUAAAUGGUAGCUAAUGUUAAUACUAGAUUCUUGCUGAUUCCCCUGCUUCUGAUCUUAAAGGGUACACUACUCCUUUUAACUCUGAAUUUGUACAGGCUUCCCCCUCCCAUUUUUUUCCACUCAGUACAGACAGACAGACAGACAGACAGACAGACAGACAGACACACACACACACACACACACACACACGGAGUUCCCUGGUGGCUCGGGUUAAGGAUCUGGCGUUGUCACUGCUGUGACUCAGGUUGCUGUUAUGGUGC
ensembl:lncRNA